GACGAACGCUGGCGGCGUGCUUAACACAUGCAAGUCGAACGGAAAGGCCCUGCUUUUGUGGGGUGCUCGAGUGGCGAACGGGUGAGUAACACGUGAGUAACCUGCCCUUGACUUUGGGAUAACUUCAGGAAACUGGGGCUAAUACCGGAUAGGAGCUCCUGCUGCAUGGUGGGGGUUGGAAAGUUUCGGCGGUUGGGGAUGGACUCGCGGCUUAUCAGCUUGUUGGUGGGGUAGUGGCUUACCAAGGCUUUGACGGGUAGCCGGCCUGAGAGGGUGACCGGCCACAUUGGGACUGAGAUACGGACCAGACUCCUACGGGAGGCAGCAGUGGGGAAUAUGGCACAGUGGGCGGAAGCCUGAUGCAGCAACGCCGCGUGCGGGAUGACGGCCUUCGGGUGGUAAACCGCUUUCGCCUGUGACGAAGCGUGAGUGACGGUAAUGGGUGAAGAAGCACCGGCUAACUACGUG
rnacentral:rRNA from 1 species